UACGAAGGGGGCUAGCGUUGCUCGGAAUCACUGGGCGUAAAGGGUGCGUAGGCGGGUCUUUAAGUCAGAGGUGAAAUCCUGGAGCUCAACUCCAGAACUGCCUUUGAUACUGAGGAUCUUGAGUAUGGGAGAGGUGAGUGGAACUGCGAGUGUAGAGGUGAAAUUCGUAGAUAUCGAGAGGAACACCUGCGGCGAAGGCGGGUUGCUGGGCUGACACUGACGCUGAGGCGCGAAAGCUAGGGGAGCAAACGGG
rnacentral:rRNA from 1 species